GACGAACGCUGGCGGCGUGCUUAACACAUGCAAGUCGAACGAUGAAGCCGGAGCUUGCUCUGGUGAAUUAGUGGCGAACGGGUGAGUAACACGUGAGUAACCUGCCCUUGACUCUGGGAUAACUGCUAGAAAUGGUAGCUAAUACCGGAUACGACCCUCGGAGGCAUCUUCAGGGGGUGGAAAGAAUUUCGGUCAAGGAUGGACUCGCGGCCUAUCAGCUAGUUGGUGAGGUAAUGGCUCACCAAGGCGACGACGGGUAGCCGGCCUGAGAGGGGGACCGGCCACACUGGGACUGAGACACGGCCCAGACUCCUACGGGAGGCAGCAGUGGGGAAUAGUGCACAAUGGGCGCAAGCCUGAUGCAGCAACGCCGCGUGAGGGAUGACGGCCUUCGGGUUGUAAACCUCUUUUAGUAGGGAAGAAGCGAAAGUGACGGUACCUGCAGAAAAAGCACCGGCUAACUACGUGCCAGCCGCCGCCGUAA
rnacentral:rRNA from 1 species